rnacentral:rRNA from 1 species
UUAAAUUGAAGAGUUUGAUCAUGGCUCAGAUUGAACGCUGGCGGCAGGCCUAACACAUGCAAGUCGAACGGUAACAGGAAACAGCUUGCUGUUUCGCUGACGAGUGGCGGACGGGUGAGUAAUGUCUGGGAAACUGCCUGAUGGAGGGGGAUAACUACUGGAAACGGUAGCUAAUACCGCAUAACGUCGCAAGACCAAAGAGGGGGACCUUAGGGCCUCUUGCCAUCGGAUGUGCCCAGAUGGGAUUAGCUAGUAGGUGGGGUAAAGGCUCACCUAGGCGACGAUCCCUAGCU